rnacentral:snoRNA from 1 species
AACGAAAGGUAAAUUAAAAAUAAAACGGAAAAAUAAAAAAAAAGAUAGGUCGAUAUGUCAGAUGCGGCGUGAAGCUCUGCCACUGGUGCAUCAGUAGCUCGGCAUUACUGUGUUCGAUGCUCUGCGCUCAGUGGACAUGAUGCUCCGCCGCCCAUAUAUCCCGUUAUGUAUAUCCUGUGUGCGCUCUAGUUCCGUUGGGACCCUGAAGAGUAAGCACACUAAACCAUGCAUUAUACAUGACC